rnacentral:sRNA from 1 species
CAAUGGAGGAUCCACUCGACCACCUUGAUGAAUUCGAUAGGCUCUGCAAACCUAACAAAGAUCAAUGGUGUCAGUGAAGACGGAUUCAAGCUACGUUUGUUUCCAUUCUCCUUGGGCGACAAAGCACACAUCUGGGAGAAGAAUCUGCCCCAUGACUCAAUCACCACCUGGGAUGAUUGCAAGAAGGCUUUUCUAUCAAAGUUCUUCUCCAAUGCCAGAACUACAAGACUCAGAAAUGAGAUCUCUGGCUUUUCACAGAAGACUGGUGAAAGCUUCUGUGAAGCAUGGGAGCGUUUCAAGGGUUACACCAACUAAUGCCCUCAUCAUGGCUUUACUAAAGCCUCUCUGCUCAGCACUCUUUACAGAGGAGUCCUACCACGUAUCAGAAUGCUUCUGGAUACCGCCAGCAAUGGAAAUUUCCAGAACAAAGAUGUUGAAGAAGGCUGGGAAUUGGUUGAAAACCUUGCUCAAUCAGAUGGCAAUUACAACGAGGACUGCGAUAGGACCGUCAGAGGCACAACUGACUCUGAUGACAAACACAGGAAGGAGAUCAAAGAGCUGAAUGACAAGCUGGACAGGAUUCUUCUUAGCCACCAGAAGUAUGUGAACUUCCUUGUUGAUGACAAGCAGUUUCAAGUCCAAGAUGGGGAGGGUAUCCAGUUGGAAGAAGUCAGCUACAUCAACAACAACCAGGGUGGCUACAAAGGAUACAACAACUUCAAAACCAACAACCCCAACCUCUCCUACCGCAACACCAACGUUGCUAAUCCUCAGGAUCAGGUGUAUCCUCCACAGCAACAACAAGGUCAGAACAAACCUUAUAAUUAGUCAAAUGCAUUGGAUUAUGACACAUUUUGACCAUAGAAAAACAAACAAAGCCAUAUACUGAUUCUAAGCAAUUUAUUGUUGGUUUUAUCCUCUUUUA